UACGUAGGGCGCAAGCGUUGUCCGGAAUUAUUGGGCGUAAAGAGCUCGUAGGCGGCUUGUCACGUCGGAUGUGAAAGCCCGGGGCUUAACCCCGGGUCUGCAUUCGAUACGGGCAGGCUAGAGUGUGGUAGGGGAGAUCGGAAUUCCUGGUGUAGCGGUGAAAUGCGCAGAUAUCAGGAGGAACACCGGUGGCGAAGGCGGGUCUCUGGGCCGUAACUGACGCUGAGGAGCGAAAGCAUGGGGAGCGAACAGG
rnacentral:rRNA from 1 species